rnacentral:rRNA from 1 species
GACGAACCGUCCUAACGUUGUUCGGAAUCACUGGGCUUAAAGGGCGCGUAGGCGGCCUUGAAAGUCGGGGGUGAAAUCCCACGGCCUAACCGUGGAAGUGCCUCCGAUACUGCAAGGCUCGAGGGAGGUAGGGGCAGCUGGAACUUCCGGUGGAGCGGUGAAAUGCGUUGAUAUCGGGAGGAACGCCGGGUGGCGAAAGCGGCUCUCUGGAACGCAACUGACGCUGAGACGCGAAAGCAUGGGGAGCAAAACAGGG